rnacentral:rRNA from 1 species
AUUGAACGCUGGCGGCAUGCUUUACACAUGCAAGUCGGACGGCAGCGGGGUAGUGCUUGCACUACUGCCGGCGAGUGGCGGACGGGUGAGUAAUAUAUUGGAACGUACCGAGUAAUGGGGGAUAACCAAUCGAAAGAUUGGCUAAUACCGCAUACGCUCUGAGGAGGAAAGCAGGGGACCUUCGGGCCUUGCGUUAUUCGAGCGGCCAAUAUCUGAUUAGCUAGUUGGUGGGGUAAGGGCCUACCAAGGCGACGAUCAGUAGCGGGUCUGAGAGGAUGAUCCGCCACACUGGGACUGAGACACGGCCCAGACUCCUACGGGAGGCAGCAGUGGGGAAUGUUGGACAAUGGGCGCAAGCCUGAUCCAGCCAUGCCGCGUGUCUGAAGAAGGCCUUCGGGUUGUAAAGGACUUUUGUUAGGGAAGAAAAAGGAGCGGUUAAUACCCGUUUCUGCUGACGGUACCUAAAGAAUAAGCACCGGCUAACUACGUG